rnacentral:rRNA from 1 species
AGUGAACGCUGGCGGUGGGCCUAACACAUGCAAGUCGAACGGCAGCACAGUAGAGCUUGCUCUUACGGGUGGCGAGUGGCGGACGGGUGAGGAAUACAUCGGAAUCUACUUUUUCGUGGGGGAUAACGUAGGGAAACUUACGCUAAUACCGCAUACGACCUACGGGUGAAAGCAGGGGAUCUUCGGACCUUGCGCGAUUGAAUGAGCCGAUGUCGGAUUAGCUAGUUGGCGGGGUAAAGGCCCACCAAGGCGACGAUCCGUAGCUGGUCUGAGAGGAUGAUCAGCCACACUGGAACUGAGACACGGUCCAGACUCCUACGGGAGGCAGCAGUGGGGAAUAUUGGACAAUGGGCGCAAGCCUGAUCCAGCCAUACCGCGUGGGUGAAGAAGGCCUUCGGGUUGUAAAGCCCUUUUGUUGGGAAAGAAAAGCAGCAGGUUAAUACCCCGCUGUUCUGACGGUACCCAAAGAAUAAGCACCGGCUAACUUCGUG